AGCACAGUAUUAUCCCAAAAACAUCCACCUCUGGUUCUCAUACGGGGUCCUCAUCCAAAAAACAUCUUGUAGAUACAUCUGUUGGAUAUAUAAGGAAUUCAGCAGCCUGUUCACAGCCUACUACAUGGAAAUUGUGAAACUGAUGACAAAGAAAACUUCUGAGCCUACUCAGAAAUGCGUAUUUAAGGACAAGACUCAACAGACAAGAAUCAAAGAUGGGGAGAUUCUGUGAAAGUUUGCUUUAGAAGAAUAGAAGAACAUUACGGAUCAGUCUGAAUUGCUGUCUCUCCCCAUCUCUCACACUCCGCUCACGCCAAGGAUGCAAGUUCCAACAGGCUAAAAUAGAUUAGUGUACAUUUUCAAUACUCUUCCUGCCUGAGCUACUGGUUGUCAUCUACCCAUAAUCUGUUUCAUAAAAACCAGAGGAAGAAGAACUCUUCUCCAGUGGAUCGCCAAAGACACUACAAAUGACACCUUGCACUGAGCUUAACACCCUGAAUAUGUUAACACUUGGUUGCAGUAUUAAAGAAAUCCAUAGUUCUUGAUGAACAAUGCAUAAAAUAGUAGGAAAAAAACCCUACCACUCUAAUUUUAAGUAUGAAAGAAAUAAAAAUAAUUUUAAACUUAAUUCUAAACAUCUGGAGUUUACAGAAAUAGUGCAGAUACUGGACAAGGGAUGCCUGAGUAGUCUUAACCUUAAAUAUCUUGAAGGCAGAGCAACUAAUAAUGAAGAAUUUGAAAGUAGAUUUUCCCCAUGGAAUUAUCCUUUUGCUAACUCUGCACAAAUUUCAGCCUGUGUGGCAGAGUUUCUCUGUUUAUAAAGUUAUCUCAGUCAGGUGACAAAACAUAUGAAAAAAGCAGGUUAAAAAAUAGAUCAGCUACAUGAGAACACUGAGUAUAGAUAUUAAUCUUCAAAGAUUUUUACUAAGAAAGGAUAAUCUUAAGAGUCUGAUAAAAACAGAUAUACUAAAAUCCUGGAUCUGUUGCAGUUGAGACACUUUUGCCAUUGACCAUCUCGAAACAACAAUUUCAACUAUGGCACCUAAACCCUUAUAUUCCACAAUCCAAAAUCCAAACAGAAUUACCAGAAUAAAUGCUUUCAAGUAAAUUCAGUUUUAAUCCUGCCAGUGUUUGAAUUUGACAUCUGGAAAAAAUCUUUUAGCUACGUAGAGA